UACAAGGGAGAAUAAGAAUCAAUACUCCCUCCCGUAAAUAACCAGUGAACUCCCUAUAUAAAUAUGAAUGUGACACCAUCCAAAGAUUCAUAAUUAAAAAAAAAAAAAAAACCCCUCUUUGUCUAGAACACUAAUGACCAACAAUUAUGAUUUAGUUAAUUAGGUCCAACGAAUUAACGUUAAGGUUAUUGGUGUCUAGUCCAACAUAUUAAUGGUUCACAAUACCCUCAAUCUUAAUCAAGACACAUACGCUUCAACUACUCUGAGAAAGGCGUUGUCAUUUUCAUGCAUAGACCAUUCCUAGUUUUAAAGCAAGGAAAAUAGAAUCUAGCACGUGAGACUCAAAUUCUUCCUCCCUCAGAUACAAAUGAAAAACAAAAAACAAAAAAUUGUACAAGGAACCUUAUGAAGAAAAGGCAGAGAAUAAGCUAGGUCGAUCUGAUCACCUCUCUCCGCAAGGAAAAAAAGAAGCUAUUUAAGCAUCAUGUAAUGUGCAACUGUCAUGGUCAUCAGGAUCCCUGAUCAAAGCA